rnacentral:rRNA from 1 species
UACGAAGGGGGCUAGCGUUGCUCGGAAUCACUGGGCGUAAAGCGCACGUAGGCGGCUUCUUAAGUCAGGUGUGAAAUCCUGGAGCUCAACUCCAGAACUGCCUUUGAUACUGAGAAGCUUGAGUUCGGGAGAGGUGAGUGGAACUGCGAGUGUAGAGGUGAAAUUCGUAGAUAUUCGCAAGAACACCAGUGGCGAAGGCGGCUCACUGGCCCGAUACUGACGCUGAGGUGCGAAAGCGUGGGGAGCAAACAGG